rnacentral:rRNA from 1 species
GUACACUCCUGCGGGAGGCAGCAGUGGGGAAUUUUGGACAAUGGGCAAAAGCCUGAUCCAGCAAUGCCGCGUGAGUGAAGAAGGCCUUCGGGUUGUAAAGCUCUUUUGUCAGGGAAGAAACGGUGAAAGCUAAUAUCUUUUGCUAAUGACGGUACCUGAAGAAUAAGCACCGGCUAACUACGUGCCAGCAGCCGCGGUAAUACGUAGGGUGCAAGCGUUAAUCGGAAUUACUGGGCGUAAAGCGUGCGCAGGCGGUUUUGUAAGUCUGAUGUGAAAUCCCCGGGCUCAACCUGGGAAUUGCAUUGGAGACUGCAAGGCUAGAAUCUGGCAGAGGGGGGUAGAAUUCCACGUGUAGCAGUGAAAUGCGUAGAUAUGUGGAGGAACACCGAUGGCGAAGGCAGCCCCCUGGGUCAAGAUUGACGCUCAUGCACGAAAGCGUGGGGAGCAAACAGGAUUAGAAACCCCUGUAGUCCCA